UGUUGAAACACCAGUUCCUAUACGAUCACCAAAGUUAAGCAAUGUUGAACCUGGUCAGUACCUGGAUAGGUGACUGUUUGGGAAUAUCAGGUACUGUAAG